AACGAACGCUGGCGGCAGGCUUAACACAUGCAAGUCGAGCGCCCCGCAAGGGGAGCGGCAGACGGGUGAGUAACGCGUGGGAACGUACCCUUUGCUACGGAAUAGCUCCGGGAAACUGGAAUUAAUACCGUAUGUGCCCUACGGGGGAAAGAUUUAUCGGCAAAGGAUCGGCCCGCGUUGGAUUAGCUAGUUGGUGGGGUAAUGGCCUACCAAGGCGACGAUCCAUAGCUGGUCUGAGAGGAUGAUCAGCCACAUUGGGACUGGGACACGGCCCAAACUCCUACGGGAGGCAGCAGUGGGGAAUAUUGGACAAUGGGCGCAAGCCUGAUCCAGCCAUGCCGCGUGAGUGAUGAAGGCCUUAGGGUUGUAAAGCUCUUUCACCGGAGAAGAUAGUGACGGUAUCCGGAGAAGAAGCCCCGGCUAACUUCGUGCCAGCCGCCGCAGUAAAAC
rnacentral:rRNA from 1 species